GUGAUCAUCAUAUGUAUCCAGGAAUUUUUUAAAGGAUUCUUUCCUAUGGGGAGAUGGGGAUAAUUUUGCUAUUAGAGCUUCUA